UUAAAAAGCUCGUAGUUGGAUUUCGGAGUGGGCCAGUUGGUCCGCCGCAAGGUGUGUUACUGACUGGUCUGCUCUUCUUCGCAAAAACUGCGUGUGCUCUUUGUUGAGUGUGCGUAGGAUUUACGACGUUUACUUUGAAAAAAUUAGAGUGUUCAAAGCAGGCUAUUGCUUGAAUACAUGAGCAUGGAAUAAUGGAAUAGGACUUUGGUCCCAUUUUGUUGGUUUCUAGGACCGAAGUAAUGAUUAAGAGGGACAAUUGGGGGCAUCCGUAUUUCGUUGUCAGAGGUGAAAUUCUUGGAUUUACGAAAGAC
rnacentral:rRNA from 1 species